rnacentral:tRNA from 1 species
GUCAGCGUGGCUUAGUGGUUUGAGUGUUGGACUACAACUCUGGAGAUCAGGGUUCGAUUCCCCGCUUGGCCA